GAAAAUCUUUCCCAUCUUAACACCAAACGAACAACGAGAAUUCUAUCCUAUCUUAAAACUAACCGAGGAGCACGAACGAAAAAUCUAUGCCCAAAGCUUCUUUGAGUCUUAUGCUCCCCAACCUAACACGAAUAAUAAAUAUAUAGAACUGAACUGAACUACUGAACGGUUAUGCCGCUUUUCCACUGCAUGGUACCAGCUCGACACGACUCGACUCGGCUCGCAUUUUUUGCGUUUCCACCGUGAAAACAUGGUAUCUGGUACCUGAAGUGGCUGCUUUUUUUAGUACUGCCUCGCUCUAGGUUCCAAGCGAGCUGAGCCGAUGCUAAAAGGUGACGUCGCCUGGAAACUACCUGUACAAUCAAUAUCCUAUGCUGAGUAAAUCUUUCAAGGUGGAGAGUCUGUACUGUCAUGCAGUUUUCUUCGGUUUGAACAAAUCAUAAGUGUUAUUUGUAGUUGACCUUGAUCUAACUACUGUAGCUGUAUUACUUAGGCUGAAUCACUAACAAAGUGUAAAUCAUUUCAAACAUAUUUCAGCAGACACUUGUUAACUCUCUGGGAAGGAAGGCCACACCACAACCAAUCUCGAAUACGACCUCAGAUCAGACGAGACAACCCGCUGAACUUAAGCAUAUCAGUAAGCGGAGGAAAAGAAAUGCUGGAAAAGGGAACCCUGGUGUCCUGGUUACGGGGGACGAUGGUAACAAAUUUGAUUCAGGGGUCUAGGGUGACUUAACUCAAUGUUUAAUUGAAUUGUCUGUUAAGAAUGAGUACUUUGUCAAAUGUAAUUAUAAUUUGUAACCUCAAACUCUUUUUAUUAAGUUGAUGGAAAAGUGCCCUUAUGCAUCAUGUUUCCCAUCUUCUCUCAGAGCUCUGAAUAUCUAUAUGACUGCAAAACCUGUUAUUACUGAUGUACACCGUCCUUUACUUGAAUUUUUGUGUACUCUUUCUAUAUAUUGUUACAACCCCUCCC
ensembl:lncRNA